UACGAGGGGGGCAAGUGUUGUUCGGAAUCACUGGGCGUAAAGGGAGCGUAGGCGGGUUUUUAAGUCAGGUGUUUAAUCCCGGGGCCCAACCCCGGACAGGCACUUGAAACUGGGAAUCUUGAAUAGUGGAGAGGUCAGUGGAAUUGGGGGUGUAGCGGUGGAAUGCGUAGAGAUCCCCAAGAACACCCGUUGCGAAGGCGGCUGACUGGACACAUAUUGACGCUGAGGCUCGAGAGCAUGGGGAGCAAACAGG
rnacentral:rRNA from 1 species